rnacentral:rRNA from 1 species
UACGGAGGGUGCGAGCGUUGUCCGGAAUCACUGGGCGUAAAGGGCGCGUAGGCGGUCUGCUAAGCGUGCGGUGAAAGCCCGGGGCUCAACCCCGGGUCGGCCGUGCGAACUGGUGGACUCGAGCACUGUAGAGGCAGGUGGAAUUCCGGGUGUAGCGGUGGAAUGCGUAGAGAUCCGGAAGAACACCGGUGGCGAAGGCGGCCUGCUGGGCAGUAGCUGACGCUGAGGCGCGACAGCGUGGGGAGCAAAC